UAAUACCGAAUAAAACUUAGUUAUCGCAUGGAUACAAAGUUAAAAGGCGCUACGGCGUCACCUAGAGAUGGAUCCGCGGUGCAUUAGUUAUUUGGUGGGGUAAAGGCUUACCAAGACAAUGAUGCAUAGCCGAGUUGAGAGACUGAUCGGCCACAUUGGGACUGAGACACGGCCCAAACUCCUACGGGAGGCUGCAGUAGGGAAUCUUCCACAAUGGGCGCAAGCCUGAUGGAGCAACGCCGCGUGUGUGAUGAAUGCUUUCGGGUCGUAAAGCACUGUUGUAUGGGAAGAAAUGCUAAAAUAGGGAAUGAUUUUAGUUUGACGGUACCAUACCAGAAAGGGACGGCUAAAUACGUGCCAGCAGCCGCGGUAAUACGUAUGUCCCGAGCGUUAUCCGGAUUUAUUGGGCGUAAAGCGAGCGCAGACGGUUGAUUAAGUCUGAUGUGAAAGCCCGGAGCUCAACUCCGGAAUGGCAUUGGAAACUGGUUAACUUGAGUGUUGUAGAGGUAAGUGGAACUCCAUGUGUACCGGUGGAAUGCGUAGAUAUAUGGAAGAACACCAGUGGCGAAGGCGGCUUACUGGACAACAACUGACGUUGAGGCUCGAAAGUGUGGGUAGCAAACAGGAAUUAGAUACCCCUGGUAAGUCCCCCACCGGUAAACGAUGAAUACUAGGUGUUAGGAAGUUUCCGCCUCUUAGUGCCGAAGCCUAAACCGCAUUUAAAGUAUUUCCCCCCUUGGGGGAAGUACGAACCCGCAAAGGGUUGAAAACCUCCAAAACGGAAUUUGAACGGGG
rnacentral:rRNA from 1 species